rnacentral:lncRNA from 1 species
CUAAGUCAAUUCCAAAUCCAACAUGUAUAGUUUAUCUAACUUAUUACAGCAUAAAUUCAGAUUUCGUUUAACAUACUAAUCAAUAAAUUCGAGCUAAAAUCAUGAUAUACAAAGGCUGAAAAUAUACAUGUUGACUACGCAAACACUUAGGAGGAGAAUUCGAUGAUUAACCCACCUCAAAACGGCUCGAUGACAGCGCGCAACUGCUGGAAACCCUGUCGAGCCAACCAA